rnacentral:lncRNA from 1 species
GAGAUACUAAGAAUCAUAAGUAUAGAGUGAUGAGAAGAAGAAGAAACAUACGACAAGUGAAGAAGAAGUUGCGGCAUUGAACAAUAUUAAGCAAUGGUGCAGAGAAGGGGCGCUGAUGGAUAAGAAUGAUUUAGGGCUCUUAUUAUUUUUCCUUUUAUAUUAUUUUCUUUAUUUUUAUUUUUGUAAUUUACCAAUUUGUACGUUUUUAUUUUUAUUUUUAUUUUUGAAACAUGUACUAUUCUGUUUUUGUGUAUUAAACUCAAUCUACAAGUAUAACACUUUUUUUAUUUAAUUUUAUUUAAUCUAUAUCCAAAAUUAUUAUACAUUGUGUGGCUUAUUCAUUUAGUUUUAUUAAAUCUAU